AUACGUAGGGGGCGAGCGUUGUCCGGAAUUACUGGGCGUAAAGGGUGCGUAGGCGGCCGAUUAAGUCAGAUGUGAAAUACCAGGGCUCAACCCUGGGGGUGCAUUUGAAACUGGUUGGCUUGAGUGCAGGAGAGGAAAGCGGAAUUCCUAGUGUAGCGGUGAAAUGCGUAGAGAUUAGGAGGAACACCAGUGGCGAAGGCGGCUUUCUGGACUGUAACUGACGCUGAGGCACGAAAGCGUGGGGAGCAAACAGGAUUAGAUACCCUGGUAGUCCACGCCGUAAACGAUGGAUACUAGGUGUAGGGGGUUUGAUACCCUCUGUGCCGGAGUUAACGCAAUAAGUAUCCCGCCUGGGGAGUACGGCCGCAAGGUUGAA
rnacentral:rRNA from 1 species